rnacentral:rRNA from 1 species
AGAAGAAACUUACCAGGAUUCCCCUAGUAACGGCGAGCGAACCGGGAACAGCCCAGCUUGAGAAUCUGGCGGCCUGCCGCCUGAAUUGUAGUCUGGAGAAGCGUCCUCAGCGACGGACCGGGCCCAAGUCCACUGGAAAGUGGCGCCGGAGAGGGUGAGAGCCCCGUCGUGCCCGGACCCUGCCGCACCACGAGGCGCUGUCGGCGAGUCGGGUUGUUUGGGAAUGCAGCCCAAAUCGGGCGGUAAAUCCCGUCCAAGGCUAAAUAUCGGCGAGAGACCGAUAGCGAACAAGUACCGCGAGGGAAAGAUGAAAAGGACUUUGAAAAGAGAGUCAAAGAGUGCUUGAAAUUGUCGGGAGGGAAGCGGAUGGGGGCCGGCGACUCGCCUCGGCCGGAUGCGGAACGGCGUUGAGCCGGUCCGCCGCUCGGCUCGGGGCGUGGACCGUCGCGGGUCGCGGUGGCGGCCUGAGCCCGCGCGGUUGUUUCCCGCGCGCGGAUUCGCCGUCGCCUAGACCGUGGAGAAAGCCAGCACGCGCCCCUGUGGCGUGCCUCGUGCACCUGCGUGCUCUCGGCCGGCGGUCGGCGGG